UGGGGAAUAUUGGACAAUGGGCGCAAGCCUGAUCCAGCAAUGCCGCGUGUGUGAAGAAGGCCUGCGGGUUGUAAAGCCCUUUCAGUGGGGAAGAAGGCAUUGGAGUUAAUACCUUUGAUGAUUGACAUUACCUACAGAAGAAGCACCGGCUAACUCUGUGCCAGCAGCCGCGGUAAUACAGAGGGUGCAAGCGUUAAUCGGAAUUACUGGGCGUAAAGGGUGCGUAGGUGGUUACUUAAGUCAGAUGUGAAAUCCCCGGGCUUAACCUGGGAAUUGCAUUUGAAACUGAAUGACUAGAGUACGGUAGAGGGAAGUGGAAUUUCCGGUGUAGCGGUGAAAUGCGUAGAUAUCGGAAGGAACAUCAGUGGCGAAGGCGACUUCCUGGACCGUUACUGACACUGAGGCACGAAAGCGUGGGGAGCGAACAG
rnacentral:rRNA from 1 species